rnacentral:lncRNA from 1 species
CUUGAUAAAGAUUGGGCAACUGGAGAACCGCCCCAGGUGUGGUUUCCCAGCCCUCCACUCCGCACCCCACUCACCACCUCACUCCACACAUCUCCUCAUUCCACGCAUCUCCUCACUCCACACAUCUCCUCACUCCACACAUCUCACUCCACACAUCUCACUCCACACAUCUCACUCCACACAUCACCUCACUCCACGCAUCUCACUCCACACAUCUCACUCCACGCAUCUCACUCCACACGUCUCACUCCACACAUCAUACUCCACACAUCUCACUCCACACAUCUCCUCAUUCCACACAUCUCACUCCACACAUCACCUCACUCCACGCAUCUCACUCCACACAUCAUACUCCA